rnacentral:rRNA from 1 species
AUUGAACGCUGGCGGCAUGCCUUACACAUGCAAGUCGAACAACGUCAGGGGCAACUCUGGCGAGUGGCGAACGGGUGAGUAAUGCAUCGGAACGUGCCCUCUCGUGGGGGAUAACCAGUCGAAAGAUUGGCUAAUACCGCAUGAGCUCGAGAGAGGAAAGCGGGGGACCGCAAGGCCUCGCGCGAGAGGAGCGGCCGAUGCCCGAUUAGCUAGUUGGUGGGGUAAUGGCCCACCAAGGCGACGAUCGGUAGCUGGUCUGAGAGGACGACCAGCCACACUGGGACUGAGACACGGCCCAGACUCCUACGGGAGGCAGCAGUGGGGAAUUUUGGACAAUGGGGGCAACCCUGAUCCAGCCAUGCCGCGUGUGUGAAGAAGGCCUUCGGGUUGUAAAGCACUUUCGGACGGAACGAAAUCGCGCGGGUGAACAAUCCGCGUGGAUGACGGUACCGUAAGAAGAAGCACCGGCUAACUACGUGCCAGCCGCCGCGGUAACAC